rnacentral:tRNA from 1 species
UUCCGGGUCGUCUAGCUGGUAGGACGCGAGACUCUGAAUCUCGAAACGCGGGUUCGAAGCCUGCCUUGGAAACCA